rnacentral:rRNA from 1 species
UACGUAGGGUGCAAGCGUUAAUCGGAAUUACUGGGCGUAAAGCGUGCGCAGGCGGUUUCGUAAGUCUGUCGUGAAAUCCCCGGGCUUAACCUGGGAAUGGCGCUUGUUACUGGCAGACUAGAGUGCGUCAGAGGGGGGUGGAAUUCCACGUGUAGCAGUGAAAUGCGUAGAGAUGUGGAGGAACACCGAUGGCGAAGGCAGCCCCCUGGGAUGACACUGACGCUCAUACACGAAAGCGUGGGGAGCAAACAGG